rnacentral:ncRNA from 2 species
AAAUGAUAAAGGCAAACCAUUUGAAAGAAUGGGACGCAAAGUCUGAUGUCUAAAGAGUCUCAGGAUUCAAUGAUCGAUCGGCUGCCAAA